CAAAGAUUUAUCGGUAAAGGAUGGGGAUGCGUCCGAUUAGCUUGUUGGCGGGGUAACGGCCCACCAAGGCAUCGAUCGGUAGGGGUUCUGAGAGGAAGGUCCCCCACACUGGAACUGAGACACGGUCCAGACUCCUACGGGAGGCAGCAGUGAGGAAUAUUGGUCAAUGGCCGUAAGGCUGAACCAGCCAAGUAGCGUGAGGGAAGACUGCCCUAUGGGUUGUAAACCUCUUUUAUGCGGGGAUAAAGGUGUCCACGUGUGGAUGUUUGCAGGUACCGCAUGAAUAAGGACCGGCUAAUUCCGUGCCAGCAGCCGCGGUAAUACGGAAGGUCCGGGCGUUAUCCGGAUUUAUUGGGUUUAAAGGGAGCGUAGGCCGGUCUUUAAGCGUGCCGUGAAAUUUUGUGGCUCAACCAUGAGAGUGCGGCGCGAACUGGAGACCUUGAGUGCGCGGAAGGCAGGCGGAAUUCGUGGUGUAGCGGUGAAAUGCUUAGAUAUCACGAAGAACCCCGAUUGCGAAGGCAGCCUGCCGCAGCGUUACUGACGCUGAAGCUCGAAAGCGCGGGUAUCGAACAGGAUUAGAUACCCUGGUAGUCCGCGCGGUAAACGAUGGAUGCCCG
rnacentral:rRNA from 1 species